GAUGAAGAACGCAGCGAAUCGCGAUAAGUAAUGUGAAUUGCAGAUUUUCCGUGAAUCAUCGAAUCUUUGAACGCACCUUGCGCUCCUUGGUAUUCCGAGGAGCAUGCCUGUUUGAGUGUCAUCGAAACCUCGGAUCGACGCUUCGACCCCGUCGAAGCUCGGUUCGGACUGUGGGAGUCUGCCGGCGAAGCGUGACUUCGUCGGCUCUCCUCAAAAGCAUUAGCUGUGGGUGGCGAGCCUGGCAUGGCACGGCCUGUUCGACGUCGUAGUGAUCGUCGGGGGCUGGAAGUGUAUGGCUCGACGUGACCCAUGCUUCUCGAGUCUUGCGAGCCCGUCCCUCUGUGGGACGGCCGCGCCCCAUCGAAGCUUGACCUCAAAUCAGGUAGGACUACCCGCCGAACUUAAGCAUAUCAAUAAGCGGCGGA
rnacentral:misc_RNA from 1 species